rnacentral:rRNA from 1 species
UACGGGGGGGGCAAGCGUUGUUCGGAAUUACUGGGCGUAAAGGGCUCGUAGGUGGCCAACUAAGUCAGACGUGAAAUCCCUCGGCUUAACCGGGGAACUGCGUCUGAUACUGGAUGGCUUGAGUGUGGGAGAGGGAUGCGGAAUUCCAGGUGUAGCGGUGAAAUGCGUAGAGAUCAGGAGGAACACCCGUGGCGAAGGCGGUUCUCUGGGCCUGACCUGACGCUGAGGAGCGAAAGCGUGGGGAGCGAACAGG